UUAUUCAUGCCAUAAAAAUUUCUAGUCAUAUUAAUAUAUUUUAAAUUAAAUUAUAUUUAAUGAUAUUAUAUAAUUGAAUAUAAUAUUAAAAAACAAGUUCAUUUCUGAUGACUAUUUCUUUUGUUAGUAUAUUAUUUUUGUAGAGAAGGUCCGUCCACUCUCGUUUUGCUGUCUCCGCUAGGACUCACUUAUAUCGUAUUAUCAUGUAAUUAAUAUAUCAAAUGACACGAUAACCUGAUACCAUGUAAUGUUUCAUUAUCAUUCAGUCGCGGUGCACGCGCCGCUAAUCAGCUCGAAAGUACAUAAUCUAGUAUAUAAUCGGCUACGACACGACUAUCUGUUACAUAGGAUAAGGAUAUUAAACUUUUUUUUAUUGUAUAAACUUAUAUAAACUUGUACUCUAACUUUUAUCAAAGUCGAAAACGUUUUAUUAAUUACUAUUGUUAAAAAAGAAAACUAAACGAAUUAUAGAACAGAAUGAACGGGUUGCACAUUGCAGACGGGCGGUCAGAGAGAGAAGGCACCCGAAAUGCAGCGAUGUAAUGUGUUUAGUGUACGCUCGCCGGUAGGCAACUGUUUACAACGAUGCUCGUAUCUUGUUAUAAUGAAAUUUUGAUAUUAAGAGUUUAUUUAUUGUAAGUUAAUUCUUUGUGAAUAAUGCAUUUUCAAGUCUGAAUGUGUGUGUAGUUGAAGUCGGGUCAACCUCUUCCUAACAAUUCAGCGGCCAAGCGUCCUUUGGUCGUUUAAUCGUGGGAUUCUGAUGAAAAGGUGUCCGCGAUGGUUUCGCGGCUCGAUGCAGUUGAUUUUAAGCUAUCUUUUUAAGGUUUACAAAUCGUGAGGCAACUUUCAAGUCUUGACUGCAACGAGCCCGGGGUCAGUGUAACUAUAGCAAUAAGCGGUGCAACAAAAGUUGAUCGCGUAUAAAGUAUACAAUGCCGUAAAAUAACUACUAAAUUGAUAGUGAUAUCGUCGAAUUCGACGGUUGUUUAGAUUUACGCUAGAAUGAAUUUAUAACUAACUAAUGUUAACUCGAAUUUCCGAAUAAAAAAAUGAACUGGA